rnacentral:rRNA from 1 species
UUCCUACGGGAGGCAGCAGUGGGGAAUAUUGGACAAUGGGGGCAACCCUGAUCCAGCCAUGCCGCGUGUGUGAAGAAGGCCUUUUGGUUGUAAAGCACUUUAAGCAGGGAGGAGAGGCUAAUGGUUAAUACCCAUUAGAUUAGACGUUACCUGCAGAAUAAGCACCGGCUAACUCUGUGCCAGCAGCCGCGGUAAUACAGAGGGUGCGAGCGUUAAUCGGAAUUACUGGGCGUAAAGCGAGUGUAGGUGGCUCAUUAAGUCACAUGUGAAAUCCCCGGGCUUAACCUGGGAACUGCAUGUGAUACUGGUGGUGCUAGAAUAUGUGAGAGGGAAGUAGAAUUCCAGGUGUAGCGGUGAAAUGCGUAGAGAUCUGGAGGAAUACCGAUGGCGAAGGCAGCUUCCUGGCAUAAUAUUGACACUGAGAUUCGAAAGCGUGGGUAGCAAACAGGAUUAGAUACCCUGGUAGUCCACGCCGUAAACGAUGUCUACUAGCCGUUGGGGUCCUUGAGACUUUUAGUGGCGCAGUUAACGCGAUAAGUAGACCGCCUGGGGAGUACGGCCGCAAGGUUAAAACUCA